UACGUAGGGUGCGAGCGUUUAAUCGGAAUUACUGGGCGUAAAGCGUGCGCAGGCGGUUUUGUAAGACAGGCGUGAAAUCCCCGGGCUCAACCUGGGAAUGGCGCUUGUGACUGCAAAGCUGGAGUGCGGCAGAGGGGGAUGGAAUUCCGCGUGUAGCAGUGAAAUGCGUAGAUAUGCGGAGGAACACCGAUGGCGAAGGCAAUCCCCUGGGCCUGCACUGACGCUCAUGCACGAAAGCGUGGGGAGCAAACAGGAUUAGA
rnacentral:rRNA from 1 species